rfam:Echinostoma caproni strain Egypt genome assembly, scaffold: ECPE_scaffold0005233
GUCCUCGUAGCUCAGCUGGUAGAGCGUGUGCGUACAAAGCGUAGUCGGCGUUUAUGUGUGGGUUCGCAUCCCACCGAGGCUA